rnacentral:rRNA from 1 species
UAGGGAAUCUUCGGCAAUGGGGGGAACCCUGACCGAGCAACGCCGCGUGAGUGAAGAAGGUUUUCGGAUCGUAAAGCUCUGUUGUUAAGGAAGAACGAGUGUGAGAAUGGAAAGUUCAUGCUGUGACGGUACUUAACCAGAAAGGGACGGCUAACUACGUGCCAGCAGCCGCGGUAAUACGUAGGUCCCGAGCGUUGUCCGGAUUUAUUGGGCGUAAAGCGAGCGCAGGCGGUCAAUUAAGUCUGAUGUGAAAGCCCCCGGCUCAACCGGGGAGGGUCAUUGGAAACUGGUUGACUUGAGUGCAGAAGAGGAGGGUGGAAUUCCAUGUGUAGCGGUGAAAUGCGUAGAUAUAUGGAGGAACACCAGUGGCGAAGGCGACUCUCUGGUCUGUAACUGACGCUGAGGCUCGAAAGCGUGGGUAGCAAACAGG